UCACGCUGUAUGAACCUGUUCUAAACAGUAAUACUGAAUAUGAAGAAGCAUUCUACUCUCUGGUAGUAGAGGCAAAAUAAAAAUGCAGCCAGCAUUCCAUCCGUGUGUCCCCUCAUGGCCUGUCCUGGGCCACAAAGAGACGCGACAUUUCGCCAUCCCAUCGUCGCGCGUCCGGGCGAAACCUCAACGCCCCAUGACGCCAUGCUGGCUCUGAACUGCUUGGACAUCCAAGCUGAAAAACCCAACGGACGCGGGAUCGCUGUGCAUUUGGACCAGUAGUUUUGCCUGCAGACAGGCGUUCUGAAACCGCAGCAGUAACAUCUUUUCUUUCCAGCGUCGUCCACGGAUGAGAACCCUCCCAAAAAAAAAAAAAAAAAAAAAAAAAUUUGAUGCAUGCACAUUACGUGAGUCAUGAAUAAAUCUGCAGUUUCAGCAGAGUCCGUGUUUUGUUUCAUCGCCGCCAUGUCCAGCGUACUGCUUGGCCGGGCGCUAUCCCCGUGCAUGCAGCAAGACAUCACCCAGCCCAGCUGAAUCUGAGCCCCCGCCACGACGUCACCUACUGGAGAACACUAUAAUAAUUUUGACAGCCCGAUGAUCAGAUAAUUAUGGGCCCGUGAGGGAGACGAUUUUCAAGUUCACAUUUUUAUCAUCCAUAUGUCGAUUUUCUUCUUGACGGGCCCACCUUCACCGCCGACCUGGAGAUCACUUAUUCCCUCAGCGGUGGAGGGGCGUUGGGCCAUCAGAGAUAGACUUCAGAGCUGCUUUCGUCGAAAUUCACAUCUCCACCACCAAAUCAAUUGCCCUGGCGAUAUUGCCCAUUAACUUUGACUUUCCCAUAGCAUACGCAGAUACAUCCGCCAAAUACAACCAUCCUCCCCAAGUGACCACUUCUUCCAGUUUUCCCAGGAGCUUUCACCGCCUCUCCUUAGAGCGAAUUUUCCAUGCUUGCGUUUAUCUGCGAACUACCUUCGUUAGAUCGUGUCUUUUUUUUUUGGGCCUUGCUGGCCUUAGGAAGAGGAAGUCCGGUCCGUUCAUUGUUCAGUAGAUUAAAGUAAUGACCAAAAAAUACAUAACUAUCACAAGGGCACAGAAGAUGAACGUGAUAUUCUCGCCACACUUUCAUUUUAAGAAAUAGCCCAUGAAAAUGAUUCCGGCAUUCAUGAAACCCUCAUCGCCAAGG
rnacentral:sRNA from 1 species